rnacentral:rRNA from 1 species
UUGGAGGGCAAGUCUGGUGCCAGCAGCCGCGGUAAUUCCAGCUCCAAUAGCGUAUAUUAAAGUUGUUGCAGUUAAAAAGCUCGUAGUUGAAUUUCAGGCCUGGCUGGGCGGUCCGCCCUUCGGGUGAGUACUGCCUGUGGUCGGGUCCUACCUUCUGGCGAAGCGUCAUGGCCUUAACCGGCCGUGGCGGGGAACCAGGACUUUUACUGUGAAAAAUUAGAGUGAUCAAAGCAGGCAGUCGCUUGGAUACAUUAGCAUGGAAUAAUGGAAUAGGACAAUGGUUCUAUUUGUUGGUUUCUAGGACCGUUGUAAUGAUUAAUAGGGAUAGUUGGGGGCAUUAGUAUUCAAUUGUCAGAGGUGAAAUUCUUGGAUUUAUUGAAGACUAACUACUGCGAAAGCAUUUGCCAAGGAUGUUUUCAUUAAUCAAGAGCGAAAGUUAGGGGAUCGAAGACGAUCAGAUACCGUCGUAGUCUUAACCAUAAACUAUGCCGACUAGGGAUC